GUCGUGUGAACGAUAAUACUCAUUCUUGAUGAAUUGUGAAGCAGUUGCCCUUGGGUCGUUUUGCGAGUUGAAGUCAAGAAGAGGAAAAAAACAAAAAGG
rnacentral:sRNA from 1 species